rnacentral:rRNA from 1 species
UACGGAGGGGGCUAGCGUUGUUCGGAAUUACUGGGCGUAAAGCGCGCGUAGGCGGAUCUGCAAGUCGGGGGUGAAAUCCCGAGGCUCAACCUCGGAACUGCCUUCGAUACUGCGGGUCUCGAGUCCGGGAGAGGUGAGUGGAAUUCCUAGUGUAGAGGUGAAAUUCGUAGAUAUCAGGAAGAACACCCGUGGCUAAGGCGGCUCUCUAGUACGUGACUGACGCUGAGACGCGAAAGCGUGGGGAGCGAACAGG